GACGAACGCUGGCGGCGUGCUUAACACAUGCAAGUCGAACGGAAAGGCUCCAGCUUGCUGGAGUACUCGAGUGGCGAACGGGUGAGUAACACGUGGGUAAUCUGCCCUGCACUCUGGGAUAAGCCUGGGAAACUGGGUCUAAUACUGGAUAUGACCUUGCUCCUUAUGGGGUUUGGUGGAAAGUUUUUCGGUGUAGGAUGAGCCCGCGGCCUAUCAGCUUGUUGGUGGGGUGAUGGCCUACCAAGGCGACGACGGGUAGCCGGCCUGAGAGGGUGAUCGGCCACAUUGGGACUGAGAUACGGCCCAGACUCCUACGGGAGGCAGCAGUGGGGAAUAUUGCACAAUGGGCGGAAGCCUGAUGCAGCGACGCCGCGUGAGGGAUGACGGCCUUCGGGUUGUAAACCUCUUUCAGCAGGGACGAAGCGUAAGUGACGGUACCUGCAGAAGAAGCACCGGCUAACUAUGU
rnacentral:rRNA from 1 species